rnacentral:rRNA from 1 species
GCAGUCGAGCGGACCGAAAAGAAGCUUGCUUCUAUUCGGUUAGCGGCGGACGGGUGAGUAACACGUGGGCAACCUGCCCGUAAGACUGGGAUAACUUCGGGAAACCGGAGCUAAUACCGGAUAACACGAAAGACCGCAAGGUCUUUCGUUGAAAGGCGGCGUAAGCUGUCACUUACGGAUGGGCCCGCGGCGCAUUAGCUAGUUGGUGAGGUAACGGCUCACCAAGGCGACGAUGCGUAGCCGACCUGAGAGGGUGAUCGGCCACACUGGGACUGAGACACGGCCCAGACUCCUACGGGAGGCAGCAGUAGGGAAUCUUCCGCAAUGGACGAAAGUCUGACGGAGCAACGCCGCGUGAGCGAAGAAGGUCUUCGGAUUGUAAAGCUCUGUUGUUAGGGAAGAACAAGUACCGCAGUAACUGGCGGUACCUUGACGGUACCUAACGAGAAAGCCACGGCUAACUACGUGCCAGCAGCCGCGGUAAUACGUAGGUGGCAAGCGUUGUCCGGAAUUAUUGGGCGUAAAGCGCGCGCAGGCGGUCCUUUAAGUCUGAUGUGAAAGCCCACGGCUCAACCGUGGAGGGUCAUUGGAAACUGGGGGACUUGAGUGCAGAAGAGGAGAGCGGAAUUCCACGUGUAGCGGUGAAAUGCGUAGAGAUGUGGAGGAACACCAGUGGCGAAGGCGGCUCUCUGGUCUGUAACUGACGCUGAGGCGCGAAAGCGUGGGGA